rnacentral:rRNA from 1 species
AAAUCACAAUGCGGGACUUGUAGUCUUGCAAUUGGAUUGAGAACAACGUAAAACUCUUAUCGAUAAGCCAUUGGAGGGCAAGUCUGGUGCCAGCAGCCGCGGUAAUUCCAGCUCCAAUAGCGUAUAUUAACGUUGUUGCAGUUAAAAAGCUCGUAGUUGAAGUGAGGGAGUGUGUGAGUAUGAGAGCUAGUCUCAAGUGCUCACAACCUCCCCCUUCCAAUGGGUGUAUUGGGGUAUUCAUUUACUUCAUUACUCCUUUGGUCGUUUACUGUGAGAAAAUUAGAGUGUUCAAAGCGGGCGUUUGUUUGAAUAGAUUAGCAUGGAAUAAUGAUUGAAGGCUUUCGUGUUCGAUUUGAUUGGUUUGUUCAUGGAAGCAAGGUUAAAAGGAACAGUUGGGGGUAUUCAUAUUCACUAGUUAGAGGUGAAAUUCUCGGAUUUAUGGAAGAUGA